UUCCGGGAGUCAUAGCCUCUUCUUCUCAUUUUUCCUCUUUUGAUUUUUCAUACAAAAAUCAUGAUCUACGAAGAUCCAAUCGUCUAAAUUCAAAUUCAACUUCGGUAACAUGAUAUACGAAGUCCGAUCCACAUUUCUACCGAUCAUUUUGAGAUAAACAGUUAAAUUCAUAUUUUGAGAUUUUUGGUUAAAUCUAGCAAACUAUGAGUUUGAUAUAGUAUUUUUUUUAGGCUUUUUAUUAUUUGGAGCUUGUAAAGAUUCUCCAAACACCAAGUAUUAUUUGGGUAAAUUUUUGGUAAUGCAUUGCAUAGUGGUGUCUAAGAGACCUAGUGCUUAAUGUCCGCGCAGCCAAGACAUUGAUGCUUUGGUUGCAGGUUCUGCGAAUAUAGAUAUUGACUCGUCCACCUAGCGUAUGGGAUACUAUGAUUGGAGCACAUCGCGACAGUCAUAAGUCACGGACUCAUGGGUAGUCCGCAUUUUGGGUAUUUUAUUUAUGGCUCGUGUCCUACGUGGCACAUGUAUUUGUUGAGCCUAUAUUUUAGAAUGUAAUUAGUGUAAUGUGUUAUAGAAGCCUUAAAUAGAUAGACUUGUAAAUGGCUCUUGUUUUAAUUAACUGUUGUAUAUUAGAUGUAUUUCCGCUUA